UAUUAGGAACUGAAGCAACAAGGACAACAAUAAUUCCUGGUGUUACUUGAAGAACACUUGAUUUCCCAGCAGUAUUCUGUGUGCUCUAGACAAACUGACUUAAUCUUCCAACAACCCUUUAAGGGAGGUCUCACUAUGUAGAUCAGGGUGGCCUUGAACUCAGAGAUGAUCCUCCUGCCUCAACCUCCUGAGUGCUGGAAUUACAGCUCUGACAGGAGGAAGUAUGAACGAGUCUGAUAGAAUCUGAGCCUAGAAUAGACACACAUCAUUUGUAGUCACAUUCUGUGGUGGAAAAUAUCACCUUGCUAUAUUUGACUGUAAAAUAGUUGGAGCAUUUAAUUCAACUGUAUAUGUAGAAGAAAAUGGA